rnacentral:rRNA from 1 species
UAAGGAAUAUUGGUCAAUGGACGCAAGUCUGAACCAGCCAUGCCGCGUGGAGGGUGAAGGUCCUCUGGAUUGUAAACUUCUUUUAUCUGGGACGAAACACUUCUUUUCUAAGAGGCCUGACGGUACCAGAUGAAUAAGCACCGGCUAACUCCGUGCCAGCAGCCGCGGUAAUACGGAGGGUGCAAGCGUUAUCCGGAUUCACUGGGUUUAAAGGGUGCGUAGGUGGGUAUGUAAGUCAGUGGUGAAAUCCCCGAGCUUAACUUGGGAACUGCCAUUGAUACUAUAUAUCUUGAAUACCGUAGAGGUAAGCGGAAUAUGUCAUGUAGCGGUGAAAUGCUUAGAUAUGACAUGGAACACCAAUUGCGAAGGCAGCUUACUAUGCGGUGAUUGACACUGAGGCACAAAAGCGUGGGUAGCAAACA